rnacentral:rRNA from 1 species
UACGAAGGGGGCUAGCGUUGCUCGGAAUCACUGGGCGUAAAGCGCACGUAGGCGGCUUUUAAGUCAGGGUGAAAUCCUGGAGCUCAACUCCAGAACUGCCUUUGAUACUGAGAAGCUUGAGUUCGGGAGAGGUGAGUGGAACUGCGAGUGUAGAGGUGAAAUUCGUAGAUAUUCGCAAGAACACCAGUGGCGAAGGCGGCUCACUGGCCCGAUACUGACGCUGAGGCACGAAAGCGUGGGGAGCAAACAGG